rnacentral:rRNA from 1 species
UACGUAGGGUGCAAGCGUUGUCCGGAAUUAUUGGGCGUAAAGCGCUCGUAGGUGGUCUAUCACGUCGGAUGUGAAACCCUGCGGCUCAACCUCAGGCCUGCAUUCGAUACGGGCAGACUAGAGUGUGGUAGGGGAGACUGGAAUUCCUGGUGUAGCGGUGAAAUGCGCAGAUAUGAGGAGGAAGACCGGUGGCGAAGGCGGGUCUCUGGGCCAUUACUGACACUGAGGAGCGAAAGCGUGGGGAGCAAACAGG